GCCCCCCCAUUGGUCUGCCGCCACCACCCAAUCCAGAAACAGAACAUCUAAUCAUGGAUAAAAAUGAGCUGAUUCAGAAGGCCAAACUGGCCGAGUAGGCUGAGCGAUAUGAUGACAUGGUAGCCUGCAUGAAAUUUGUAACAGAGCGAGAAGCCCAAUUAUCCAGUGAGGAGAGGAACCUUCUCUCAGUUGCUUGCAAAAAUGUUGUAGGAGCCCAUAGGUCAUCUUGAAGGUCGUUUCAAUUAUUGAACAAAAGAUGGAAGGUGCUGAGAAAAAACAGCAGAUGGCCCGACAAUACAAAGAAAAUUGAGACAGAGCUAAUAGAUAUCUGCAAUGAUGUACUGUCUCUUUUGGAAAAGGUCUUGAUCCCCAAUGCUUCACAUGCAGAGAGCAAAGUCUUCUAUUUCAAAAUGAAAGGAGAUUACUACCGUUACUUGGCUGAGGUUGCUGCUGGUGAUGACGAGAAAGGGAUUGUGAAUCAGUCACAACAAUCCUACCAAGAAGCUUUUGAAAUCAGCAAAAAGGAAAUGCAACCAACACAUCCUAUCAGAUUGGGUCUGGCCCUUAACUUCUCUGUGUUCUAUUAUGAGAUUCUGAACUCCCCAGAGAAAGCCUGA